UAAGACUCAAGUUUGGUGCUGCCUCCCGU
rnacentral:piRNA from 1 species